GCUCAGCUCUGAACCAAGAGGGCCUGAGCCUCUGUAACUCUGUGUUUGGUGCCCCGCCCGAACCAACGGCUGGGCCCCUUUAAACUCGGGGCUCCAGCUGGG